GAUGAACGCUGGCGGCGUGCCUAAUACAUGCAAGUCGAGCGAACAGACGAGGAGCUUGCUCCUUUGACGUUAGCGGCGGACGGGUGAGCAACACGUAGGUAACCUACCUAUAAGACUGGGAUAACUUCGGGAAACCGGAGCUAAUACCGGAUAAUAUUUCGAACCGCAUGGUUCGGUAGUGAAAGAUGGCUUUGCUAUCACUUAUAGAUGGACCUGCGCCGUAUUAGCUAGUUGGUAAGGUAACGGCUUACCAAGGCAACGAUACGUAGCCGACCUGAGAGGGUGAUCGGCCACACUGGAACUGAGACACGGUCCAGACUCCUACGGGAGGCAGCAGUAGGGAAUCUUCCGCAAUGGGCGAAAGCCUGACGGAGCAACGCCGCGUGAGUGAUGAAGGUCUUCGGAUCGUAAAACUCUGUUAUUAGGGAAGAACAAACGUGUAAGUAACUGUGCACGUCUUGACGGUACCUAAUCAGAAAGCCACGGCUAACUACGUG
rnacentral:rRNA from 1 species